rnacentral:rRNA from 1 species
UGGGGAAUCUUGCGCAAUGGCCUGACGGCUGACGCAGCGACGCCGCGUGUGGGAGGACGCCCCUCGGGGUGUAAACCACUGUCGCCCGGGACGAACCCUGAGUCUCGACUCAGCUGACGGUACCGGGCGAGGAAGCGCCGGCUAACUCCGUGCCAGCAGCCGCGGUAAUACGGAGGGCGCGAGCGUUGUCCGGAAUCACUGGGCGUAAAGGGCGCGUAGGCGGCGCGGGGGAAGCGGGCGGUGAAAGCCCGGGGCUCAACCCCGGGUCGGCCGUGCGAACUCCCGGGCUCGAGCGCUGUAGGGGCAGGCGGAAUUCCGGGUGUAGCGGUGGAAUGCGUAGAGAUCCGGAAGACACCGGUGCGAAGGCGGCCUGCUGGGCAGUGGCUGACGCUGAGGCGCGACAGCGUGGGGAGGCAAACAGGAUUAGAUACCCUGGUAGUCCACGCCGUAAACGAUGGGCACUAGGUGCCCGGGGGAGCGACCCCCCGGGUGCCGGCGCUAACGCAUUAAGUGCCCCGCCUGGGGAGUACGGCCGCAA